UACGUAGGGUGCGAGCGUUGUCCGGAAUUAUUGGGCGUAAAGAGCGUGUAGGCGGCCAGGUAGGUCCGCUGUGAAAACUCGAGGCUCAACCUCGAGAUGUCGGCGGAAACCAUCUGGCUAGAGUCCGGAAGAGGAGAGUGGAAUUCCUGGUGUAGCGGUGAAAUGCGCAGAUAUCAGGAAGAACACCCGUGGCGAAGGCGGCUCUCUGGGACGGUACUGACGCUGAGACGCGAAAGCGUGGGGAGCAAACAGG
rnacentral:rRNA from 1 species